rnacentral:tRNA from 1 species
ACCUGGCUGGCUCAGUCAGUGGAGCUUGUGACUCUUGAUUUUGGAGCUGUGAGUUCGAGUCCCAUGUUGGGUA